rnacentral:rRNA from 1 species
UACGUAGGGUGCGAGCGUUGUCCGGAAUUAUUGGGCGUAAAGGGCUCGUAGGCGGUCUGUCACGUCGGGAGUGAAAACUCGGGGCUUAACUCCGAGCCUGCUUCUGAUACGGGGCAGACUAGAGGUAUGCAGGGGAGAAUGGAAUUCCUGGUGUAGCGGUGAAAUGCGCAGAUAUCAGGAGGAACACCGGUGGCGAAGGCGGUUCUCUGGGCAUGACCUGACGCUGAGGAGCGAAAGUGUGGGGAGCGAACAGG